CCACUAUCCACAAUGAGAGAACAAACAUUUUCUAAAACUUUGUAUCUAGUAUGAAAAAUGUUCUCUCUUUGUGUUUCAUGGUCAACAGUAGGGUGAUUGUUGAGGGUUCUUAUAAUCAUCACUUGUAGGGAUAUCGUGUGUGGAAGCGUGAUAAUUUCAACCAAAGAUUAUGAGAAAUUAAAGUAACAAGGAAAAUGAGAAUGAUACCAGAACUUUUUAGGUGGAAAACCCAUUUAAAUAGAAGUAAAAAACCACCGGCGAGAGAGCCAAAACUUCCA
rnacentral:lncRNA from 1 species